AGAGUUUGAUCCUGGCUCAGAUUGAACGCUGGCGGUAUGCUUAACACAUGCAAGUCGAACGGUAACAGGUCUAGCUUGCUAGAUGCUGACGAGUGGCGGACGGGUGAGUAACGCGUAGGAACCUGUCUAUGAGAGUGGGACAACUCGGGGAAACUCGAGCUAAUACCGCAUACGUUCUGAGGAAGAAAGGCUGGAGCGAUCCAGUCGCUCAUAGGGGGGCCUGCGUUGGAUUAGCUAGUUGGUGGGGUAAAGGCCUACCAAGGCGACGAUCCAUAGCUGUUCUGAGAGGAAGAUCAGCCACACUGGGACUGAGACACGGCCCAGACUCCUACGGGAGGCAGCAGUGGGGAAUAUUGGACAAUGGGCGCAAGCCUGAUCCAGCAAUACCGCGUGUGUGAAGAAGGCCUGAGGGUUGUAAAGCACUUUCAGCGAGGAGGAAGGUAGAGGUGUUAAUAGUACCGCUAUUUGACGUUACUCGCAGAAGAAGCACCGGCUAACUCUGUGCCAGCAGCCGCGGUAAUACAGAGGGUGCAAGCGUUAAUCGGAAUUACUGGGCGUAAAGCGUGCGUAGGUGGAUAUUUAAGUCAUAUGUGAAAGCCCCGGGCUUAACCUGGGAAUUGCAUCUGAUACUGGGUAUCUGGAGUAUGGUAGAGGAUAGUGGAAUUUCCGGUGUAGCGGUGAAAUGCGUAGAUAUCGGAAGGAACACCAGUGGCGAAGGCGACUGUCUGGGCCAAUACUGACACUGAGGUACGAAAGCGUGGGUAGCGAACAGGAUUAGAUACCCUGGUAGUCC
rnacentral:rRNA from 1 species